GCAAUGCUUUGGCCAUUCCCCACACACAGCAUGGACUUGGACCUGCUUGACAAGCAAAAGGCUGUGUUGCCACACAUAUUCCACACAAGGGGGAAGUGGAAACAUCACCUAAUUACAGCCACGGGAAGACGCAGGGAGAGCAGACGAGGCUCCCACCGGCAGUGCUGAGCCCAGCCAAGGGCUGUUCCAGAAGGGAAGAUGUGCUGGAGAGCAAAUCAACAAACCAGAGGCUGCCGGCAGCUCCUGGCAGCCCCUCGCAGCCCCAGCCCUUGGUGCUGUCCCACGCUGGCCUGCAGCAGGUGAGGGGUGGGGAUGCAGCACGCCGGGAGCAGCCGGAGCUGCUGCAGCGCUGUGACAGCCGGGGAUCGAGGGCAGGAGCAGUGCCAGAGCUUCAGGAGCUGUGCUGGAUGGCACAGCACUGCCAGAGUUUAAAUGUGAUCUUCAUUAAUGAACUGGGUUUGAUUUUAAGUAAUUAAUUUUAAUUUUAAGUGGAAGCUGUAGAGCUGUGUGGGUUUUGUUGAGUUGUGCCCGGUGCUGAGGCUGCUCUGAGCAGGGAGGAACUCAGGGCCGGGGUUAUUUUGUUCUUGCACUGCCAGCAGGGUGUGGGUGAGCAGCACAGGGCAGGGGUGUCUGACACCAGCAGGGCUCCAGGGUGGGCAGACAGGCAGAGCUGGCUGCCUGCAGCCCCGCGUGGGCCAGGGAAGUGCCACGACCCAUCAGGAGAAAUCUCGAGCUCCUCUUGAACCAGGAACCCAGGCAGAACCUGUUCUUUUGCCACAUUCCUCUCCCUCCAACAAAUACAAAUAGCUCCAACCCGAAAUAAGGUGUGAUUUCACACCCAUGGCAUGAAGGAUAUGUGAGGAGUCAAGUGAUGCAGAGAAACCUUCCCAGCGCCCUGGAAGGACUUUGGCAGCCUCAGCCCUGCUGAGCCUCACCCUGUUCCUAAACACGAGGGCUCAGUGACUCAGGCCCGGCCCUGAAGGAGAAGCAUCCACACGGCGUCCCUGAUAAGAUUCCUGUCGAGGUAAGGUCGUUUAUUUGACUCUGUGGGACUCUUGGGCUCUUUCCUCUGCCCAAAUUGCAGGCACGGCCUGUGUGCUGACAGAUCAAUUAUGGAAAGUGGCACGUAGUUAAUGCCUGCUGUUGCACAGAACUCAUUAAACCUCCAUACUCUGUUUAUUAUCUCUGUUUUACAGAAAACAGCUAGAGAAGGGAGCUGAGGUGUUCUGGUGUUGCUUACCAUUAACACCAGAAGUGAGAAGGGAGCUCUCGAGCUUUAAUAGCUCCCCAAAAUUUUCCUCAAGAAUUUAAUUAAAAAUAAUAGACAAGAGCACUGCGGUCUUGGAUAACCUGAUUUUGUUAACUCUUCUGUUGUAUUCCUGUUUCAGGGAGCCUUUGGUGCCCAGACAGCUGAAACAGCAGGGCUGAUUUCACCCAAUUUAAAGGAAUUUUAUUUGGAGCAAACCUGACAGCAGUUUUAGAGCCGGAUGCAAAGUUUGAUUUAAAAUGCAGGCAGACAUUUAAUUGCACAGCAGCUGCAAUUUUCCAAACAGCAAGCUGACAACUUUUAGUUCCUCUUCUGGAGCGUUUCCUUGGCAGGGAGAGGUUCCCAGGGCUGGCCCUGGGUGGGUUCUGCAGCCCAAUCAGCCGAACACAGAUGAUUCAGCACUCGUGUGCCAGGCUGAUUUCUCAGAAACUCCUCCAGCUCAGGCAGAACUUCUGCUCUCUCCUCCCUCAGCCCCAUCCCCUCCCAGGAGGAGAAGGGCAAACACCACUGCAGGGUUUGUCUCCCUGGGGGCUGAAAUCCCAGUGCCAGAGCUGGGAUAUUCUCCAGGAGAGCAGGAUGGGUGCAGGGGACUGUCCCCAAACUGUCACCGCGUCCCUGCUGUGACUGCUCAGGGAAAGGUGCUGAGCUGAGCUGUACCAUGGACAGGAUGUUCCUGUUCCCAGUGCUCUCCCCACAAGCUGCUCUUUGAUAGGAGUUCACUCACAACUUCAGAACUAGGUCUGUCCUUCAGAAAUUCCAAUUAUUGCUGAAUUUAUCCCUACACUGCUCUUUCAGUCCAUUGCACCCACGGGGUAAAUCUUGGUAAUACCAGACACAAAUAUUUGUGAAGUCUGCUUCAUAAUUGAUUUAUUUCAAUGCAUAAAAGAUUCUGGAGGGAUGUAAAACUCUCUUUACAGCUGAGUGCUGAUAUCUCAGGUAUCAGUUCACAGAAUCCCAGAGGGGUUUGGCUUGGGAAGGACCUUGAAGCUCAACUCAUCCCAUUCUGAUAUUCACAGUUCAACCACUAGAACGAUGCCAUUUUUGGGAUAAUUCCCUGACUGUGUCAUUAAGGGCAGGAAAAUCUUAGUUUAAAAGUACUACAAAACAACCUAAUAAAUUUUUGUAAAAAGAAAAGGAGUUGUACUUUAAAUCCAUCCAGACUUUACAUUUUUAAUAAUGGAGAUAACUUUUGUUUGAGGAAGUUUAGGAGAGUAAGGAGAAAUUUUUCUCAGAGUCAGUACCAAGGACUUGUUCUUUGUCAGCCUGUAAGAGUAUCAACUUUGACAACCACGAAUUACAGGUAUUUUUUUUUAACCAAAGAGAUUUUAUUUUCUAGGCAACAAAAGAAAACAUCCAAGCAGUGAUAGUGAUACAUCUCCCUUCGAUGGAACUGAUUCUCUGUGAGCAGAUUCCCAAUGCAAACAUGAUCUAGCAAAGCUCAACACUCUGGAUUAAAUAAAGCUCAUUUUUCAAAUACUGCAACUGAGAAAUACCAGGAAAAAAAAAAAAGAAAAGUUUUACACACUUGGACAAAUCCGUCCAGGACACAAAGCUAAAAUCUAAGGGUUGCUCCCCAAAGUCAAGGCAGACAAUAAAUAUGGAUUUUCCACUUGUGUUUCAGACACCUGGUGCACCUCUCUGAGGUAGGUUUUGUGUCCAUGUCACAGAUGGCAAAGGGGAGGAUCAGCUCCUUGUCCCAGGCACGUCCCUGCUCCCCUGGGCCAGCUGGAGCACUCCUGGGGCUCGCCGGUCUCUUGGUCUCCUUCCUAGCCAGUAUUUCAGCUCAAGUAGUUAGAACACAGUGUAAUCUUCAAGUUCCUUUGAACUGUCAGGUAUUUCUGGAGGUUUUUAAGCAUCAGCUUCUACAGGGCUGGGUUUAAUGUCGGGUUUUGGGGGGGUUUAUUUUCCUUUCCUAAUGACAGGCUAAAAGCAGAGCAGGGUUUAACACCGGGAGCUAAGUGGCUUUCUAAGGGAACUCCCACCAGUGCUAAUGUGUUUUAAUACUGAAUUAAAAACAAACCUGGUCCAUAGUGCUCUGGGUGAUUCUGGGCUGUUUAAUUAUUCAUGCCUUAAUUCAGCAAAGCACUUAUGUAAUUAUGUUCUUUCCUCAGUCAAACCCUCCUGUAUUUCAAGAUCCAACUGGGAGCCUCUGCUGAGAAGCUGAAAUAUGAUUUUUGUAGAAAAGGUGGUGUUGCUGCACCAGUUUGCUCAGGUGCCUGAGGGAACAGAGGCUUUCAAACUGGGUUUUAGGUUCCCUGUGGAAAGUGGGUUUAUUUCUGCCCCAGUCCAAAGAGGCACGUUCUUGUUUCCCAGUCUAAAAGUGCAAGGAAGGCCACUCAAAACAGUAACAGAAGAAUGG